GCGGAGGAGCUUAUCCGGAUGGGUCUUCAUCCUAGCGAAAUCAUAAGUGGUUACACAAAAGCAAUCAAUAAGGCCAUAGAGAUUUUGAAUGAGUUGGUAGAGGGGGGAUCUGAGACCAUGGAUGUAAGAAAUAAAGAGGAAGUCGUUCGGCGUAUGAAAGCUGCUGUUGCUAGCAAGCAGUUUGGGCAAGAAGAUAUCCUCUGCCCUCUCAUUGCUGAUGCAUGCAUCCAGGUCUGUCCGGAUAACCCCGUGAACUUCAAUGUGGACAAUGUUCGAGUUGCAAAGCUCGUUGGAGGUGGUCUACAUGACUGCACUAUUGUCCGUGGUAUGGUCUUGAAACAUGAUUCUGUUGGAAGCAUAAAGAAAAUGGAGAAUGCAAAGAUUGCUGUGUUUGCUGGAGGGGUUGAUACAUCUGCAACUGAAACAAAAGGAACUGUCCUACUUCACAAUGCCAAAGAGUUGGAGAAUUAUGCAAAAACUGAAGAAGCAAAAGUUGAGGAGCUUAUUAAAGCUGUCGCCGAGUCGGGGGCAAAUGUUGUUGUCAGUGGAGCUGCAGUUGGUGACAUGGCAUUACAUUUCUGCGAGCGCUACAAACUCAUGGUUCUAAAAGUCAGCUCGAAGUUUGAGUUGCGAAGGUUAUGUCGGACAACUGGUGCAGUGGCUCUUCUAAAACUUAGCCAGCCAAAUCCAGAUGAGCUGGGCUUUGCCAACUCUGUUUCUGUGGAAGAAAUUGGUGGCAGCCGGGUAACUGUUGUGAAAAGUGAAGAAGGUGGGAACUCAGUUUCCACAGUUGUUUUACGCGGUAGCACUGACAGUAUAUUAGAUGACCUAGAAAGGGCCGUUGAUGAUGGUGUUAAUACAUACAAG
rnacentral:misc_RNA from 1 species